rnacentral:ncRNA from 1 species
AUUCAAGGGGUGCUCCUUAGAGGGCUGAGAUGAUACCCUAUAACCUGAUCCGGGUAAUGCUGGCGUAGGGAUGGAUAUUACCA